GAUGAACGCUGGCGGUCUGCCUAACACAUGCAAGUCGAACGGAAGUAGCAAUACUUUAGUGGCGGACGUGUGAGUAAAACGUAAGAAUCUGCCUCCAGGACGGGAAAAACAGUUGGAAACGACUGCUAAUUCCGGAUGAGCCGAAAGGUAAAAAGAAAUUCGCCUGGAGAUGAGCUUGCGGCUGAUUAGCUAGUUGGUAGGGUAAGAGCCUACCAAGGCGACGAUCAGUGGCUGUUCUGAGAGGAUGAGCAGCCACACUGGGACUGAGACACGGCCCAGAGUACUACGGGAGGCAGCAGUGGGGAAGUUUCCGCAAUGGGGCGAAGCCUGACGGAGCAAGACCGCGUGGGGGAUGAAGGUUCUUGGAUUGUCAACCCCUUGUCCCAGGGAAGAAGAUCUGACGGUACCUGAGGAAUCAGCAUCGGCUAACUCCGUGCCAGCCGCCGCCGUAACAC
rnacentral:rRNA from 1 species